rnacentral:rRNA from 1 species
GCAGUAGGGUGCCAUCAAGA